GAGUUUAUUACAAAAGAAGUUGAUUCAAAAAGAUUACAAUUUGAAUGUAUAAAACAUUUAUAAGUUUUAAAAUACAUGCUAGCUUAAGUGUCAGUCCUCAAUAAAGAAGCAAAAGAUGGGAUAUAGUUAUAUAAGAAGGUCGAGCCCACCGGCACUUAGCACCAUCCACAACAGAACAAACUUAUAACCUGAAAAACAACAGGGAAUAAAGCCCUGAGUACGCAAUUACUCAGCAAGACUUACCCGACUAAAGAAAAGACUCUCAAGGGUAUGCUGGUUUAUUGGGAAUCAAGGUAAAGCUUAUCAAAUUUCAAAGACUCAUUUUUGCAGAAUAGCUUACUAGUUGUGGAUCCUUAUGCCAAGCUUUUACUUCACCAGUUAAGUACUUUACCUGAAUCUAGAUUUUCCUAAUCUAGAGCAUUCACUUGUUCUACACUAACUUUAUUUUAGCAUCUUUAGUUUCACUUGUUAUCUACAAUGUAGGGCAGUGAUCCAGUCUUCAUAUCCGAGAAGUUCGGCGAUCCGAAUCGAUUAAUACUCUGUCGGUGUUUUGGGUCCGACCGCACACCCGGGGUUGCCCCUCAAGGUGCUUUUAGGAGUAGGACGGUGUCGACGACUGUAGCAAAAUGGUUCGUGCCAAUCGCACGAGGGACAAUGGACAAGGUUUGCAGGUUCGGGCCGCUUAGAAGUGCGUAACACCCUACGUCCUGGUGAGUAUAUGAGCGUGGUUACAAGAGGAUUCUCUGGAUAGAAGGCACAGAGAAUGUUUGUGGGUGGCUAAGUAGAAUAGGUCGAUCCAUCUGAAGGGGUGCCCCCUAGGCCUUAUAUACUCGGCCGUGGAGCAUUACAUGUGCUACGAUAACAACCAGUAGCUGGAAGAUAGUAAACCUCUUGAGUUUAUCCUUACGUAACCUCCGCCGACUUAUCCUCGCAUGGCUCCGUUGCAUGGGGGCUUUAGCGCGGGAAAGUCGGGUCUCUGUUUGUGAUUCAUUCGUUUGACGUUGUGGGCCGCCUGUGUUUGCACUAAUCAGCCCCACGUCUUCUUUAUUGGUUGUCUUUCCCUAGGCCCACGAAAGAAUGACCUUACGAAUUAUUUGGGCCCUUGGGCUUUUCGUGAGGCCUUUUACUUCUUUAGUGGACCCAGGGGAUAUCUAUCCCCCACAAGCCCCCGAUCUUUGAGUUAAUUUAGAGGUAAUCAACUCAAAGAUCCAAGGUCCGGAAAAUGACUUCCUGCUGUCUUCUCUGGCUCUGAUCACUCGUUCGACCAAAGUUUGGUUUUGUGCUUGUGCCUUAGAGGUCGGCAUUUUGGAUUGUAAGACUCUAGACUUCAUUGGGUGCACCGGAGGUGCACCCAAUGGGUGUAGCCCUCGACCUUUGAGUAGAUUUUACAAGAUAAUCUACUCAAAGGUCUUCUCCAAAGAUUAUCUCCAUUCGCGUUCCUGUAUCUCAGUUGAGGAUUGACCUUUCCAAUCUUGUUCUAUGCCUUAGAGGUCGGCACUAUAUUGAUUUAGAAUGAUAAUCCAUGGGGUGCACCGAAGGUGCACCCAAUGGGUGUAGCCCCCGACCUUCAAGUGGAUUUUUGAGGAUAAUCCACUCGAAGGUCUUCCUUCUGUGUCCUUUUGCUGAGAAUUAUCCAUUCUGCUUGUAAAAAAUUGGCAUGAUGUCAUCCGCGCUAUGUCAUCAGUUUUUAUGCUUCAGAGGUCAGCAUGUUUUCUGUCUUUUGCAGCCGAGUUCGCAAUCCAUCCAUAUCUCGCUAGGUAGUGUAAUUUAUUUGCUCUGUGACUGAUUGGACAUUUGAUGGACGUUCUCUGUCUAGUCUUCAAGUCAUUUCUGUCGACCAUAUUUUGCACUCCACUGGCUAUAUUUGGCUUCCCUCUAACUCUUGUUGAUAUCUCAUUUUUGUCUUGAGGUAUUCACUGCACGCCCUGCACGGAUGUGACCGUUUGAAAAAUAUACUGAUAAUUCCUGGGCGUCCCCCCCCCCAAUGGGUGUGGGCAAGAGAUGGCUUGGUACGCUGAGUGUUUUAGCCUGGUUGCCUCUGAGUAGUAAUGCGAUGGGACGGCUAGUGUAAUCAUAUCCUUUGCGCUGUUGACUGGAGUCCCAAUGGGUGUAGUGUUGCAUGAAACGGCGUCCGCCGCCUGACGUGUCUUCGGGUGGGUGGAAGUGCUUAUUGAAUGCCUUGCGACUGUUCAGUGACCGCGGUUAGAAGUGAGCGGUUGCCUUUCCCUUCUAUAAAUAACCCUUUUGCUCCUCUGGUUUCUUCGCAUCUCUUCGUUGCUUCUUACUGCCUCUUCUCCUUCUUCUCUCCCAAAGCUCUCAACCAUGGGCAAGAACAACAAGCGUAAGCGUGAGCCGACUCCUCCAUCAGAGGAGUUUGGCGACUCGGAGUACUCGGAGGAGGAGUUCUCCUCCGAGCCCGAGGGGUCUCCGGCUCCCGUCUCUCCCCCGGCGUCGUCCGAUGACUCGGACGACUCCCAGGGGAUAGCCGCGGAGGUCUGGACAUACAUCCGGGCCGUCGAGCGCUCCGGGCUCGAAGGCUCGGAUGAGUCGGAGUACUCCUCGGAUGAGGAGGACUCGGACGGCGGCGAGGAGGGUGAAGACGACGACGACGACGACGACGAUGACGACGACGGCGGCAGCGGUGGCGGGGGCGACGGCGACGGCAGAGGCGGCACCAAAGGCGGCAGCGGCGGCAGCGGAGACAGCACCAGGGGCAGCAGCAGGGGCAGCACCCGGGGCGGCGGCGGCGGCAGGGGCAGGGCCAGUGGCUAGGUGCCACUGGUCUUUUUAGAUUUUAGUAUAGUUUAGUAUAUAAUGUAGUAGUAAUUAGUGUAAUUUAGUAGUAGUAGUAGUGUAAUGUAGUUUAGUAGUAGUAGUAGUGUAGAGUAGAAUUAGGGAAGUAUCAACUCAUAAAGAGUUGAUUUGUAACUUGUUAACUUCCCUUCAAUGAAAGUUGUCGCUUAUUUCCUCUUUUUGAUGACUCUUCACUGGUUUUGCUAAAUGUUGAAUUGAUUCUUUUGAUGUAGUAGAAAUAACGCCGAGCAGUUGUGAAAUUUGACGUCAGCGUUUUAGAAGUAACACUGAGCAAUCGAACACAAGACCAGCAUUUUAGAAAUAACGCCGAGUGAUAGAAUACCGGCAUCAGCAUUUUGGAAGUAAUGCUGGGCGUGUGAACACGUGGUCGGCGUUUUAGAGGCAGCGCCGAGUGAUUGAAGGUCGGCGUCGGCAUUUUAGAAGCAAUGCCGAGCGAUUGAACACAUGGUCGGCGUUUUAGAGACAGCGCCGAGUGGUUGAAAGUCGGCGUCGGCAUUUUAGAAGUAAUGCCGAGCGAUUGAACACGUGGUCGGCGUUUUAGAGGCAGCGCCGAGUGGUUGAAAGUCGGCGUCGGCAUUUUAGAAGUAAUGCCGAGCGAUUGAACACGUGGUCGGCGUUUUAGAGGCAGCGCCGAGUGAUAGCAAGUCGGCGUCGGCAUUUUAGAAGUAAUGCCGAGCGAUUGAACCCAUGGUCGGCGUUUUAGAGGCAACGCCGAGUGAUAGCCAGCUUCUUCAAGUUUCUUUGGGGAAAAUGGCCGAGUGAUGAGGUGGCACAUCGGCUUUCUUGGAAAUAACUGUUAGAUAUCCACGUGGCGUGCUGAGAUUUCGGAGAUGACCGCUGGGUGAUGACCGGGCACUUUUUCAAAAAGGUAUCUGGCUCAAGAAUAUCCCUUAAGUGUCGCGCUUUCAGCCGCCUUUGCUUUCCGUGCCCUAGUUCUUGCAUUUCCGCAUCUGAAUCUUCUCUGCCACUCGCCUCCCACUCUGUUUCGCUAGCGAGAAGCAAGAAUGGCGCCCAAGAGGAAAACCGCGAACUCGUCUGCUGCAGUGAUCCCCGCCAUCGAUCCCAACAGUCAGUUACCCUUCGCAGGUAACCAUAUGUCUGUGAUUUCUGAAGUUGAGCUUCUCCGCCUUGUUUCCGUCGGGGUUCUCCCUCCACGGGAACUCUGUUCUUGGCGUUCUUGCCAUGGGACUACUGUCCCAACCGAAGAUACCCACGAAUCAGUGGUCUAUACCCCUUUCCUUCUUCGCGGCCUCGGCCUUCCCAUAUCUCCUUUUUUCCGUGGAAUCCUUGAUUUUUAUCACAUCAACCUGACUCACUUAAACCCUAACUCCAUUCUCCAAAUCUCUAUUUUCGUCCACCUUUGCGAAGCUUUUCUUGGCGUGCUGCCGCAUUUUGGCUUAUGGAAAUAUUUGUAUCACUGCCGUCCUGGGAUGGCCGGGGGGCAACAUCAAUUGGUCGGAGGUGCCAGUUUAGAGAUGCGCCGGGGGCGGAAGACCGAGUAUCUCGAGAUACCCCUCAAGGAUAGCAUUAAAGGCUGGCGUCUGGAGUGGUUUAUAGUGGACAAUUAUGGAAACUCUCUUCCUCCUCGUUCAGGGAGACAGGCAGACGUUCGCACUCCGAGUUGGACUGAAUCUCCCACGGACCAAGAAGUAGCCGAGGCGGGCGUGUUGCUUACUGAGGUUGGAUUACUGAAAGAGAGAGGUCUGACUGCCGAAGCUGUGGUCACAGAUUUUGUUUUCAAAAACAUUCAGCCGCUGAAGGACAGGGCCUAUCCAGCAUAUCUUUACCGAGGGCUGGCCGACCCAACUCGAGUUACUAAUAGGAGAAUUCCUUCUGUUGAUUUGGUGAGCCGACUCGAGAUGAUUCUCAGGGGUAAGGUUUCAAACGUUGGAGCUCCAGUGGCAUACUCGGCUUGGAAUCUGCCUUCUCCCAAAGAUUUCACUCUUUUUGUGUCCAAUCCGCCCGUGACAGAUAGCAAUUUGGGUCUUAGAGUUCGACCUUCUGCUGAAGAUGUCCGUUCCUUAGUUGCUUCGCUCGGGGAGAUACCUGAUGAUGAGCGACAGAUUUAUUUUGAGGUGCCCCUGAACCCUAGUGACGCAGACAUAAAUGACAUGCUCGAUCUGCUAGCUGAGGAUUCGUCUGAUACUGUUCCUGAUGGUACACUGGCAGUGGUGCCGCCUCCGGAGGUUGAUGCGACCUUGGAUGUCUCGAAACCUGUCAAUGCUCGCCCGAGGCGUCCUAGCCGAACCAGUCAGCCCGAGCCUUCUGCUGAUGAGCAGAAAAGGAAAAGAAGACGCCUCCGGCGAGUGUCUAGCUUUGAUGAGGACGCCAGCACCUUAGCUCCCACUGUUGAAGAAAUGACUGCAACUGGUCUAGCUGACGUUGAUCCCAAUGGGUGUGCUCCGCCUGUUGCUGACCCUAAUGAGGAUGCUGUCUGCGCUGCUGCUGUGGAAGAUGAGGAAGAAGAGAAUGAAACUCCGUUAAUUCGGAAAAACAGUCGGCAGCUCGUCGCUAGCGGUGGUAGUAGUGGGGUUCCUUCUCCUGCCUUGUCUGCUCUUAUUGGUCUGCAAGAACUGUCCAUGACCAAUUUUGAUCAAGCUCUAGAGGAUAUGGUCCCUGAGAACUUGCUGUUGGAACCUGCAGACGUUGAUGCAACAGAAAUUUGCGCAGCCGUGCCAGAUGCAGGGUUGAGGUCGUCCCGUGCCUCGUCGACCUUAGAGCGCGAUCUUGAGGGCCGGGAUAAUGACUUGGACCGUCCUGAUCCUGUGGAAACAGCUGAAGGUCCGUUGACCUUGGAGGUGGUCACGGCAGAGAGCUUGGAUCCUUUGAAUGGUGCUGACAUGUGCCCAGCCCCCGAGGGUGUCGCCGGGGAGGACUCAACUCAGGUGAGGAGUGUAGGCCACUUCCCAGCCCCCGAGGGUGUUGCCGGGGGUAACCCGGCUCAAGUGGGCAGUGCCAACCUUGACCCAGCCCCCGAGGGUGUCCGAGUGGGGUCUCCCUCCUGCACUUCUAUGGAUGUUCAUGUGGGUUCACCUCCACAUUCUGGCGGCAUGACGAUGGCUCGAACUUCAGAUCAGGAGGUCGCUUUGGAGGGCAGCAUCCCCACUGGUCUGAAGUUGAACUCUGCUGAAUGUACUGAGCUUGUUCCUGCUGGCCUACUACGAGCUGCUUCGGGUGGUGGUCUGAUACCUGAUUACCAGCUGAUUUCUCCUGACCUGGGGAUCUCUUCGUUCUUUUCCAACCUCCAGGUGCUGUGCCGUGCUUUAAUUUGAUCUCUAUGUUGCAUGAAUUGCUGUCAUUAUACUCAUCUGUUCUUCUCGUCAGGCUUUGGUGAAUGGAUUGGUCAGUCAACUGAAAUCACAGGGUGCUUCUACCCCAGAAGUGGCAUCAUCUCUCGAGUGUUGGAAUCCAGUGUUGCUUCGCCGUCGUGUAUCUGAGUUGGAGGCCAUCAAUGCUGGUCAGUGUCCUUUCUUCUUCUUCUUUACUCUUGUCCGUAGGUUGUUUUACCUUCUCAUAUCGCUUUGUUUGAAUACUUCUUGAUAGGGAUGACUCGGCAAAUCAUAGUUCUUGAAGAAAAACAUUCUCAAGAUCAAGCCGAGAUGACUCAACGAUGCGCUGACUUCGAGGAGAAGUAUUCUCAAAGUCAGAUCGAGUUGAGUCAGGUCUCUGCGGCUUUGGAUGAUGCUAACGCUCUGAGUUCUUCUCUUCAUGCUCAGCUUAACUCUGAGAAGGUAGCUUGCGAACCUGUGCUUCGCCUUAUCACGAUCUUGGAUUCUGAAUGAGCUUGAUUUUUGCUUGUAGGAAGAGAAACGUAGCCUUGCUGCUUCUCGCGACAACUUGGACAGACUGUACCGGGAUUCCAGUAAUUCGCUGACCAUCUUGGAGAGGAGCCACCGCUUUACGAUGGAGGAGCUUGACAAUCAGCGCCGUCAACUGCAAGAAUCUUCGGACGAAGUGGCCCGCCUUACACAGUUGCUAUCAGCAAAGGAUGCCUCCAUCAAGGAACUCCGAGCUUCCAAGAAAACCAUUGCCCGGGAGUUGGAAACUGCUCAGCAGGCUGUUAAAGUUGCUGAAGAGGCUGCUGUCACUUUCAAAACCCAGCGCGAUAAGGCCCUGGACAAGGCCAUUCGGGCGGGACGAAUUUUGAUGAGAAGACCUGGCGUGGUUGUCCCCGAGGAUAUAAGAGCCGAUGUGGUUGCUGCCCCUGAUUCCUCGAAUCGCCCUUCUUCGUCAGUCGUUCCUGAAAGAGACAUUGGAAGAUAAAGAAACAGUUCGCGUGCUCUGAGCACGCAGUUAGCAUGAGCGAGUAUUUAUUUAGAGGACAUCAGCUUAUCAUUCGAAUGUUAUGAUUUCUUUCCUAUCGUAUCAGAAUUUAUUAGUUUGCAAAUUUGUGGUAUGCUACGUGAUAAUUAUGAAGUCUGUUUGUGGGAUAUGGAGAUCAUCCCUUGAACUGCAUAAGCGUGAGUAUGUUAUACUGGUUUAAACCAUCAAUUACUUUUAGCCGGUAACUUCCGUUAGUAGGGCAUAGUGGUCACCCCUGAGUUAAGUAAGCGUGAGCGUGUUGCACCGCCUUAAGUCGUUGCCGACUUAAGCCGAUUGCUCCGUUUGUAGGGCAUAGUGGUCACCCCGAGUUAAGUAAGCGUGAGCAUGUUGCACCGCCUUAAGUCGUUGCCGACUUAAGCCGAUUGCUCCGUUUGUAGGGCAUAGUGGUCACCCCGAGUUAAGUAAGCGUGAGCAUGUUGCACCGCCUUAAGUCGUUGCCGACUUAAGCCGAUUGCUCCGUUUGUAGGGCAUAGUGGUCACCCCGAGUUAAGUAAGCGUGAGCAUGUUGCACCGCCUUAAGUCGUUGCCGACUUAAGCCGAUUGCUCCGUUUGUAGGGCAUAGUGGUCACCCCGAGUUAAGUAAGCGUGAGCAUGUUGCACCGCCUUAAGUCAUUGUCGACUUAAGCCGAUUGCUCCGUUUGUAGGGCAUAGUGGUCACCCCGAGUUAAGUAAGCGUGAGCAUGUUGCACCGCCUUAAGUCGUUGCCGACUUAAGCCGAUUGCUCCGUUUGUAGGGCAUAGUGGUCACCCCGAGUUAAGUAAGCGUGAGCAUGUUGCACCGCCUUAAGUCAUUGUCGACUUAAGCCGAUUGCUCCGUUUGUAGGGCAUAGUGGUCACCCCGAGUUAAGUAAGCGUGAGCAUGUUGCACCGCCUUAAGUCAUUGUCGACUUAAGCCGAUUGCUCCGUUUGUAGGGCAUAGUGGUCACCCCGAGUUAAGUAAGAAUGCAGGUCAAUCAUAAAUGAAUCAAGUAUCUUUGAAAUUUCUCUUUAUUGAUGACAUAUUUCCACUUUACAGAGUACAUGGCCGCUCCGGCUGUUUUGAAGUACAGCUAGGGGUAAAACUUUCUGAGGUGUUCUAUGUUCCAAGAGUUCCCGACUUCUGUACCAUCCAUCUGGGUGAGGCGAUACGAUCCGGGUCGAGUGACCUCUGCCACUAUGAAGGGUCCUUCCCAUAAGGGUGAUAGCUUGUGUCGUCCCUCCCCCGUUAGAAUUCGGCGGAGGACGAGGUCCCCUACUGAAAAGAACCUUUGCCGCACAGCCUUAUCGUGAUAGCGCCUUAGAGUCUGCUGGUAUCGCGCUGACUGUAUUACUGCAUUCAGUCGUUCUUCCUCAAGUAUAUCGAUAUCUUCCAGCCUGGUGGCCUCAGCUUCCGCUAUGCUUUCGAAAAUCAAUCUUGGCGCCCCAAACUUGAGAUCAGCGGGUAGCACUGCUUCUGAUCCAUAGACCAUGAAAAAAGGAGUGUUUCCAUGUAGGGCCCGGCUAGGUUGAGUUCUCAAGCUCCAAACAACAUAAGGCAAUUCUCUUAUCCAUUUUCCUGCGAAUUUUUCAUUUUUAUCAAAGACCCUCUUUCUGAGUGCCUCCAAUAUCAUUCCGUUGGCUCGCUCAACCUGCCCAUUGGCUCUCGGAUGGGCUACAGAUGCAUACUUGAUCUGAAUGCUUUUCUGCUCGCAGAAGUCAAAGAAUUCUGAGCUGGUAAAGUUGGAUCCCAAGUCAGUGAUGAUACUGUUUGGUAUCCCAAAUCUGAAUAUUAUGCUUUGUAUGAAUUCCACGGCUUUAGCAGAGGUUAAAGAGGCAAUGGGCUGAAACUCUAUCCAUUUAGUGAACUUGUCAAUUGCCACCAAUACAUGGGUGUAUCCUCCUUGAGCUUUCUUGAAAGGUCCAAUCAUAUCCAAUCCCCAGCAUGCAAAAGGCCAAGUUACUGGUAUGGUUUGCAGUUGCUGUGCUGGCAGGUGCUGUUGUUUUGACAGGUACUGGCAAGCUUCACAUCUCUGAACUAGCUCGGCUGCAUCAUUCUUCGCUGUUGGCCAAUAGAAUCCCGACCUGAAAACCUUCCCAACUAAUGUUCUGGAUGCUGCAUGUAUUCCGCACUGCCCUGCAUGGACUUCCUCCAGAAGUUGCUUCCCGGUGGACGGGAGAACGCACUUCAUGAGGACGCCUGACGCGCCCCUCCGAUAUAAUACCUCCCCAAUGAGUGUGUAGUGAGCUGAUUGUCUGGCAAUGCGCUCUGCUGAGUUCUUGUCAUCUGGCUCUUCUUCAUUCUUUAUAUACUUAAUAAUCGGUUGCCUCCAGUCAUCAGAGUCUGGCUCGGGUUGGUCUAUGAUGUUGCACUCUUCCCUUUGAUCCAUCGAGAUGCUCGGCUGAAGGAUUUCUUGCACGAAGACCCCGGGCGGGACUUGAGCUCGACCAGAUCCGAGCUUUGACAGUAUAUCAGCCGCCGUGUUCCGAUCUCUUUCUAUAUGAUGAAACUCCAGACCUUCGAAUUUAUCUUCUAGCUUUCGGACGGCAGCGCAGUAUCUCCCCAUUGAAUCAUUCGAACAAUCCCAUUCCUUGUUUAUCUGACUGAUGACUACCAGAGAAUCCCCAUAUACCAUCAGUCUCUUGACACCCAGUGAUAUGGCGAUGUUUAAUCCGUGUAUCAAGGCUUCAUACUCGGCUGCGUUGUUAGAGGCCGGGAAUAGCAAUUGGAGAGCGUACUUGAGGUGUUCGCCUCCCGGUGCAGUGAAGAGAAUUCCUGCUCCUGCUCCCUGCAGCUUCAGCGAGCCAUCAAAAUACAUUUGCCAUACUUCUGCGGUUUCUGGAUUAUCCGGCACUUGCUGUUCUGUCCAUUCUGAUACGAAGUCGACCAGUGCUUGAGUUUUGAUGGCAGUGCGAGGUCGGAACUCGAUAUCAUGGGACCCCAACUCGCAAGCCCAUUUGGCUAUUCGGCCAAUGGCUUCCUUGUUGUGAAGAAUGUCCCCUAUUGGAAAACCAGUAACUACUAUGACUUUGUGGUCGUCAAAGUAGUGACGCAACUUGCGGGCAGUUAGAAGUACUGCAUACAAUAGCUUCUGAACUUGAGGAUACUUUUUCUUCGAUGGGCCUAGAACCUCACUGAUGAAAUAGACGGGGUGUUGAACCGGGUAGGCAUGCCCUUCUUCCACUCGCUCGACUACCAACGCAGUGCUUACCACGUGAGUCGUGCAAGAGAUAUAUAACAGCAGAUCUUCAGCCGGCUGAGCCGGCGUAGCUCGCCGGGGCGGUUUCAAUACUGGCGGUGUUGUCAGGAAUUUCUUCAGUGCGUCUAGAGCUUCUUGUGCUUCUGAAGUCCAUUGAAACUUAUUCACCUUUUUCAGCAGUUUAUAAAAUGGCAGACCUUUUUCUCCUAGUCUGGAUAUGAAUCUGCUCAGGGCUGCCAUACAUCCGGUGAGUCGCUGAACCUUCUUCUGUGACCGAGGAGCUUCCAUCUUCAUGAUAGCUUCGAUCUUAUCUGGAUUAGCUUCAAUUCCCCGGUGGCUGACAAUAAAUCCGAGUAACUUCCCUGCUGGUACCCCGAAGACACAUUUUUCAGGAUUGAGCUUCCAUCUAUAUCUUCUCAAACUGUUGAAAACCAGCUGUAAGUCUUCAAUGAAGUUUUCUGGAUUCUCCGUUUUGAUCACCACAUCGUCCACGUAAGCUUCCACACGCUUGCCCCAGUGAUCGGCUAAGCAUGUUUGAAUAGCUCUCUGAUAAGUCGCUCCAGCGUUUUUGAGGCCAAACGGCAUGGAGGUAUAACAGAAAGCACCGAAUGGGGUGAUAAAUGCCGUUUUUUCCUCGUCUUCUUUUGCCAAACUGAUCUGAUGAUACCCGGAAUAGCAAUCUAAGAAAGACAGCAUCGAACAUCCAGCGGUGGAAUCCACCACUUGAUCUAUCCUUGGGAGCCCGAAGGGAUCCUUCGGACAGUGUUUGUUGAGAUCGGUAUAGUCGACGCACAUGCGCCAAUCCACUUUAUUCUUUUUGAGUACAAGAACAGGGUUGGCUAACCACUCGGGGUGUAAUACUUCUCUAAUAAAUCCGGCCGUGACCAAGCGAGCUAACUCGGCACGAAUAGCCUCUCUCUUGUCGGGCGUGAAACGACGCAGCUUUUGCCGAAUUGGCCUCGCCUGGGGAUAGACCUUCAAUUUGUGCUCGGCCAGUUCUCUUGGGACUCCCGGCAUAUCCGCAGGUUGCCAUGCGAAUACGUCUCGGUUAUCUUGCAGGAACUGGACGAGCGCGCUUUCCUAUUUGUCACUCAAACUGGAGCUGAUGAUGGCCGUCUUGCGCUCAUCAGCGAAACCCAGGUUGAUCCGCUUGGUGUCUUCAGUCGGCCGCAUAGAGGUCGCGGCCUGAGCUUCGUUUGCCGGCACGGCGAGGUCUUCGUCAGGCUUAGAGUUCGCCGGUGUAGAAGAAAUCGCUGAUGGCUUGGUGGUGAGGGCCGCCUGGAUGGCCACUCGGAAACACUCUGCGGCGCCUUGGAAGUCGGCGCGUACAGUUAUGAUUCCUCGUGGUCCUGGCAUCUUCAGUAUCAUGUACGUGUAGUGUGGAAUGGCCAUGAACUUGGCCAGCCCUGGCCUCCCGACGAUGGCGUUGUACCCGCAGUCGAAGUUCGCCACCUCGAACCUCAGGAACUCGGUUCUGUAAUUAUCCGGAGUCCCGAAGGUGACCGGCAUGUAGAUGUGGCCCAGCGGAUACUCCCCUUCCGUCGGCACGAUGCCGAAGAAAGGAGUGUCUGACUCGUGGAGCUCUUUGAGGUGAACCCCCAAGCCUUGAAGUGUGCGGGGGAAGGUGACGUUGAUGCUGCUCCCCCCGUCCACUAGCACCUUCUUCACCCGGCUCUCUCGGAUCACCGGAUCGACGAGGAGCGGGUAUUUGCCUGGGUGGUCGAAGUUGAGCCAUUGAUCCUCCCGGGUGAACGUGAUUGGGUGCUCCGACCACCGGUACGGGGCGGGAGGGCCGGUGGUCGCCACCAGUAUCUGGCGGUCGUUGAGCUUUUGUUGUCUCUUGUUCUCCUGCGACCCAUGUCCGCCGAAGAUGACGUUGACCUCCCUGUCAACGCGCGGGAAAGCUCCGCCUCCCCCUUCCUCCGGCUGAUGGGGUUGUCGUGGUUCGUCUGGUCCUCCCCUCGGAGGAGGAGGUGGUAGAGGUUGGAAGGGUCGGCCAUGCCCGACGGAGUGCUUGAAGUCCCGACAGUUGCGGAGAGUGUGGCGCAUAUCCUUGUGGUACGGGCACUGGGCGUCGAGGAUGUCGUCCAGCGUGCGUUCGCCUCCGCGAGGUCCUCCUCGGGCGCGAGAGGCGGGUGGUCCGGCGGCGUGUACCUCUUCGCGAGGCCUCUUCUCCCAGCGCUUGUCGGACGGCUGGUUCGCGUCGCGUCGUGGUGCCGCUGGUACGGGUUUUGUUCCUCCGAUGAGGUCCUGGGCCCGCUCGUCAGCGGUGAUGUAGAGGUCGGCUUCCCGGAACAGCUCCUCGGAGGUGGUUGGCGCCUUUUGUAGUAUGGUUCGGACGAAAGCCGAGUCAUUAGAUCCUCUGUAGAAGUCCUCGAUCACGGCCGCCUCCGUGACCUCGGGGAUGCGGUUUCUCAUGGUCUGGAACCUUUUAAGGUAUGACCGGAGAGUCUCAUCCCCCCGGCGCUUGAUGGAUUUGAGGUCCCAUGGUUGCGCCGGCUUGUCGGAGAGAGAUUGGAAGUUGGCGGUGAAACGUCGGCUGAAGUCUCCCCAGUCGUCGAUGCAGUGUCGGGGUAGAUGCCGUAGCCACUGCAGUGCGUCUUGCCCGAGGACAAUGGGCAGAUACACAGUCAUGACGUCCUCAGAUGCCCCGGCAGCCCGAGCGGCGGUGGUGUAGACGGCUAACCAGCCCCCUGGGUCCUGCUUAGGUUCAUAUUUGUCGACGUUGGAUACCUUGAAGUUUGGAGGCCAUUGGAUGGCCCUAAGGCGCGGAGUAAGAGCAGAUACUCCGCACGUGUCCUCCUGUCGUCGAGGAUGGCGCCUGUCCCGGGGAGGGGAGUGGUGGUGGCGGUUCCUCGACCGUUCCCGGGAGGUUCCACCGGUUGAAGCCGUUGCUGACUCAGUUCGGGUGGCCUGGCUUUGAGUCGGGAAGCCAUGAUCUCGGUCAUACUCCUCCCGACGGCGAAUUUCGUUCUCGUGCCGCCGUUCGCGCGAAGCAUUGAUAGAGCUUCGCGCGUCUCGGUGACUGUUGAUGGCGUGUCGCAGAUCGUUCGGCGGAUGGGCGAGCGGUAGAAGAUGAUUGGCUGCCUGAGUGAACAGGCGCCGGUAUCCCUCGGCGUCGGGGGUCCGAGGAAGUCCGUCGGCUAUCCGGGCCAGAACGCCUCCGACUUCGCUCGGCGUAUUCAGAGCUCGGGCGAAGUCGGGGUUCAGGUUGCGCCCGAAGAGCGGAUUCUCGCGUCGUUGCCUUGCAUCUUGCUCGGCUUGCUCCUGAGUCCGACGGCGAUCUCGUCGUCGGGAGUUCCUUCGUUCCCUGAAGACGCGUUCUUCCGGAGUUUCUCCCAUCUCUGAGACCUCGUCUCGCGAGACAGGCUGCUCCGGAUCCCGUUCUCCAGCUGCGUGAUGUCGUCGGAUGUUCCUGCGUCGGUUCCUUCGUCGGCGGGACUCUCGCUGAGGCGGUUCUUCUCCGGGUGCAGUCGGUUCAUCGUCGGAGACGGCGAGCGAUUCUGCCCUCCCAAUGAAGAGGAUGUCGGGGUAGAACGGCAUAGUUGCCGCGGCGAAUUUCUUUCCGUUCUCCUUUGAGGUCGGAGGAACGGGAAGAAUGACUGGCCUCCCUCUGAUCUCCUUCUUCCUUAUGACUUGUGUCCAUUCUCUCGUUGGGGAAGUAGACAGCGGAGUCUUCCGGGUCAGCGAGCUUCUAGCUCCAGCGUCCCCGGAGGCGAUCUUGUUCCGAAGAGCCGGAGGUAGUGCUUUUCCAGCAUCCUCGGAGUUUGUUGGAGGAGACUUCUGUUCCGGUAGAUCCGCGAGGCGGUGUAGAAUUCCUUCUUCGUCCGCCACGGAUGAGAUUGUUCCGAAGCAGAAAGUGGAUCCGGGGCGCAUGGUAAUCUUGCUAUGGAAGGUGACGGCCAUUGAGCUAGCUUGGAUCGUCGACACACCCCCUACCUGGCGCGCCAGCUGUCGGUGUUUUGGGUCCGACCGCACACCCGGGGUUGCCCCUCAAGGUGCUUUUAGGAGUAGGACGGUGUCGACGACUGUAGCAAAAUGGUUCGUGCCAAUCGCACGAGGGACAAUGGACAAGGUUUGCAGGUUCGGGCCGCUUAGAAGUGCGUAACACCCUACGUCCUGGUGAGUAUAUGAGCGUGGUUACAAGAGGAUUCUCUGGAUAGAAGGCACAGAGAAUGUUUGUGGGUGGCUAAGUAGAAUAGGUCGAUCCAUCUGAAGGGGUGCCCCCUAGGCCUUAUAUACUCGGCCGUGGAGCAUUACAUGUGCUACGAUAACAACCAGUAGCUGGAAGAUAGUAAACCUCUUGAGUUUAUCCUUACGUAACCUCCGCCGACUUAUCCUCGCAUGGCUCCGUUGCAUGGGGGCUUUAGCGCGGGAAAGUCGGGUCUCUGUUUGUGAUUCAUUCGUUUGACGUUGUGGGCCGCCUGUGUUUGCACUAAUCAGCCCCACGUCUUCUUUAUUGGUUGUCUUUCCCUAGGCCCACGAAAGAAUGACCUUACGAAUUAUUUGGGCCCUUGGGCUUUUCGUGAGGCCUUUUACUUCUUUAGUGGACCCAGGGGAUAUCUAUCCCCCACAUACUCAGCUGAGGAUCUCCAACCACACGACAUAUGUAGCACUUAACCCUUGCAUAUGUCAACUCGCCCACGGGUUUCUCAAGACCAGAACGGGUUCACGCGACCCGAGAGCACAGCACUCCACCGUCCAGCCAUUGCCCUGGUUGGUACACGUUACUCUCGCCAUGGUGCCCGCCAUGUUUCCGAGAGUACAACACCCCACCUUCCAGUAUCUUGCCACGGAGGGUACAAGCUACUCUCGCCAUCUCUCCACUCCCAGUGCGUGCGAGCUGUUCUGGUAUUGGUCUAACCGAGGCUAAGCUUACCCAUGACGAGGCAUGUGGCCAGUUAAAGGGUCCUAGAUCAGCAAGCCUACUUUCGGUACGGUCCUUAAUCGACACAGACGAGCGACCUUUCCUGCUCAACGUCUGGUCUCAUAUUAUUAUUUCCUUCCCAAAACCAUGUACCUGACAGAGGUACCAUACUUGAAUGAUGAAUUCAUCACUGCAGAUGAUGCUCUCACCAUUACAAGUCCUUUUUCAUAAAACAAACCCAUACCCAGUGUUACACAACAUUCUUUUAAAAAGAAUCAAGUUUUAGUUCUCUAGGCAGGGCUAAGCCUCAUUAGUUCUCUUUAUAAAACAGGUAGCAAGGAGGAUAAUCAAAUUCCAAGGAAUGGUAAUGCAUCAAUUGUUUAUUCACACAACUCCUAUCACCUAAUGCAGCAGGUAAGUGAUAAAAGUUUUUAAAACAGAAGGAGGUGGCAAAUGCACCGGGGCUUGCCUGGGAUAACACUAUGUUAGUGUUGUUAAAUGACGAUCACUUGGUGAGUAUCUCCCAUCCUGGCACUUGGUUGAUUCAUCCACUUUAGCUUCGUCCAUCAGCAUCGUCUUGUGAUUAAUCCAGCUCUUGUCCUUCACAUCACGUGAUUAAUUAACGUACCUAGAUGAUAUGCAUAAUGCAUAUGAGUGAAUAGGAGCAUAAAUAGCGCAAGAUAGAUAAGUUAUACUAAGGAGGAUACAGACUUAAAGCAAGACAUCACAAUUCUUAUGUGUAACAACUAGAUAUAUUUAACUCUACAUCAGACAUGACGUUCUAGUCAAUUGGACCUAAACCAAUCAUCAAGUAACAUUAGCAAUAUUCAAAUCCUGAUGUACCGCAAUAUUUAAAAACAAUUACUAUAUGUUGACAUAUCACUACGUAUCACAAUUACAUUUUUUUCAUUUAAACGGAUGAACUCAAGCAUCAAAAAGGCUACACAUAAAUCCAACCUCAUGAACUAGAAUAUCCUACCGAAUGAUUAACACCACUCUUAGUACUAAGAAACAACUCAUUAUUAAGAAGCAUAGAAUUUUAUAGUAUAGUAUUUAUCUUAAUUUAAAGGUUUAAAACACUUAUAUGCAUAAACACUAGAUGCUUCUGAUUUUAUACAAUCAUGAACUUUGAGGUAAUCAGACCUAACCCAAACAUUAGGUAACAAUAACUAAACACAUUAAACAUGGGACACAUGUUCACUUUAGGUUAGCUACUUCAAGACUUCACCAAUCAAGAACCAAGAACUAAUUAAUCCUAUCUAGCCAAGCAAGAAUGAUUCCAAGUAACAGUUUAACGUGUGCAGAUUUUCUGGACAGCAGAACAGUAGUCAAUUGUUUUGCUCAUAAUUCACAAAAUAUCCAUCCAAAAAUAGUAAACUAGGACUUUCUGGAAAGCUUAUAAAGUACUCUAUAACUUUUGUAUUAUAAGCACAACAUGAUUCUGCAUUUUGAAAGGUCAAUCAGUGCUAAACGUAAAUUCUGUCCAGAUUUAGACAGAAUUCGACUACUUACUUCAAAAAUUCAUAACUGGAGUUUUAGAAAUCCAAAUCAGGUGAUCCUAGACUUUUUAGAAAGCUAAUAGAAUUGUCUACAAUUCAUUUAUAAACAUCUCAGGGUGAUUCAAUGUGUAUCGAAGUCAGUUAAUACAAACAAGCAUUGCUGUCCAGAUUUGGACAGAUUCAGACUCUAUAGUUCAAACAGCUGUAACUUGGUCUCUAGACAACCAAAAAGGGUGCUCCAAAAUUUUUUGGAAAGCUUAAGAAAAGUACUACAAUUCUCCUAUAAUUACUAAGAGCUGAUUCUCAGUUUAGCUUAACCAAACAGUCCAAUUUUCGAAACCUGUACAGAAUUUGGACAGAUUCUGAAACUGGACUUGGAAAAAUCAUAACUCCUAAACUACUGAACCUAUGGUCAUGAAAUUUUUACACAAGUAAGAUAAAGAAAUUAUCUACAACUUUUAUAUAUCACACUUUCACAGAAAACAUGAUUUAUUUUAUUGAACUAGUUGCUGAAGUAAAAUUGGUCAUGCAGUCCCAAACAGCAAGAAUUCAAUUUAACUCAUAGUUAACCUCUACAAUCACCAUAUGCUUGAUACUUCAACUAUUCUAACACAUCAUCCUAAAUUAGAGUUAAAACCACCUAAUUAAUCGUGUUUAUAAACUAAUCUAUUUUAUAUUCAAAUAUCAAUCAACACUUGGUCAAGACUCCUAAUCGAUCACCACAUAUAGCAUAAUGAUUUCCCUAGCCAGACAACAACUCAUUAACCAAAAUGUAUUCAACAUAAUCAACAAUAACGAAACUUUGGAUUAUCGUUUAAAACACAAAAUCUAUUCUGUGCAUCACUAAUGCACCACACUCCGCAUACAAAGGACCUAAUUAAUCAUACUAGACAUGAACACCCAAAUGUAAAAUAAUGCUCUCAGCCGCACACAUCUAAACAUACAAAAAAACAAGAGAUCUAUCCAGAAAUUAUUACCCAAAAGCUGCAGUAAAAAAAUGAGACAAUAGCAAGGAAAACUUGAUAACGAUGAACAACAUAGGGAUAGCCAGGACCUUCAACGACGGCAGGGUCGAGGUUGAAUCGGAAUUCUGGAUUAGACCUUUUGUCGAACACCUGUUGUGCGAUGCACAGCCAUGACGAACAACGAGGUCAAAGGAAUGGCUACAGGUGGUGGAAAUCGACGACGUUGUGCACGUGCGGUAAAGAUUAGCCAUCGGUGAGCACGAGCAUGUCGCCGGCAACCCGGAAGAAGGGGCACAGAGCCCAGCGCCCAACGUCGUGAGCCAAGGGAGAUGCAAGGGAGAUGGGGCUGGGCGCAGGAACCAAGCUUGCUGGCGUUGACGAGCAGAAACGACGUGGCGGCCAGGUGCGCUGGAGCAGCAACAGGAAGGGGAGCUGGUUGGACCUGGGUAGGGAGACGUCGGCCAUGGAGGUAGGUGCUGGGAGCAGGAACGGAGCAGGGAGACGGGGAGGUGUCGUGACCGAGCAGGGGGGCGAGCAGGAGAUGGCGCGCGCCGGCGUGCUGGAGCACUGGACUCCCAGCGCAGGAGCAGGGAGGGAGGCACUGAGAAAGACGACGUGAGGGAGAUGGGGAUCGGCGGGGGCGGUGGAAAACAGGAUAAUGGAGAUGAGCUGAAGACGACACGUACGCUGAUGGCAGGACCAUGCUGGCUCGAUAGGAUUUUCCAAGGGCGGUAGAGAUAAGCUUGUGAAAGAAAACAAUAAUGUAUCCUUUUCCAUUUUAUUCAGCAAAAGAACAAAAAUAUUGUUAGAAUUAUAGGCAUUUUCCGUAUCAUUUUAAUUCCAUAAAUUAAUAUUAUGAUGAUGACAUAUAAAAGAUAAUUAACCAUAGAAAUCGUAAUCUCAAUCAUAUCCAUAACAAUAUGAAUCAUGAGAACACAAAGCAUAUGAAUCAUAUAGAUCAUAUAAAUACGAUAAACAUAUAAACUGACUGAACACUUGAAAAUAAACAAAUAGAAACAUAAACAGCAUGAUUGUAAAAUUAAAACAAACAGAUAUAACACAUUAUAAGGUAACAGAACAGAUGAGAUAAACUCUUUGCUAUACAUGAAACAGUACAAAUGCAUAUAUAAAACAUAUAUAAUCUGUAGAACGCAAAACAGUAAGGAAUUAAACUGAUCAUACCCUCCCAUGCGCUCUGAUCCAGAUCCUUGUCCAACUUCCUUUGUCAUGUCGCAGAUGUUUUGGGCAGUCGCGUAGACGCUCCCCAAAAACCUAAUUGCCGAUCCCCCGUGCAAGGUUUCGAACGGCACCGGCUUCGGAGGCACCUGCCCUCUCGCUUCUCUGUGCGCGCAGAGUCACGAGAUGGAAAUACCCUCACUCGGCGGCUGGACUGUGAUUCUGAAAGUGGUGUGUUCGCGUGUACCGAGUGACAGGGGUGCUCCUCUAUUUAUCCUCUCGCAGAGGGAAGCUGAAGGAGAAAGGUCGCCGAGUCACGCCAAGAGUCGGCCAGCUCUAGCCGAGUUAUGCCAUGAGUCGGCCAGCUCUUGCCGAGUCACGCCAUAAGUCGGCAGGUGAAGGAGAAGGGUCACUCGGCUGGCUGAUGAAGAGACAAGGUCACUCGGCAGACGAAGAGACAGGGUCACUCGGCUGACGUACGCGGUUAGUGAGUGCUAAAAAUUAACACAACCACACCACGCCCGCUCGCCUGCCUCGCCACGCCACGCCACGCCACGCCCGGCCCGGCCCGGCCGGCGGCGGCGGCGGCGCGCGCGCGCGCGUGUGGCACGCCCUUGUCCAUUUCUUGACUUCUCAAGUUAAGUGGAAUAAAUCCCACCAUAUAAGUCAAGGCAAAAGACCCUUGGACUUCCAAUGUGGUACUAUUGGUAUUCUCCACCAUUACACACCAUAGAGUUUAUUCAAUAAAUGGGCCAAGCCCAUAAAAGAUCCAACAAUCCCCACCAAACUCUAGGGUUUGUAAUGAUGAAGUAUCAGAAUCACAAUCCUUUGAUAUACCAGUGUUUCGAUGGAGACUGUUAAGUUGAACAUCCAUCUAGAAUAAGAGUUUCACUCAUUCACAACUGAACAAUGGACUAAGCCUUGAAUUGACAGUUUUGUGCGAAAUAAGAUUCACUCAAAUCCUUUGCUGAUACUAGGCUGCAAAAGGGUAUUCCCGCUGUUUAGAAGCAUAUAAGUCACACUUCAGUGCCUUUCAUGAGUAUUUAGGGAUUACCCAAGUCCCAUAGACUGUGACCAGCAGUCUGACUCAUAUAGGUGUAUUCCUCAAAAGAUGUUCUGUAGGACAACAUCUCACCUUUAUAAGACUCUUGGAAUACAUUAAGGUAAAUAUCAUCCUGCCUUACAGAUAGGAAAGAUGUGCAUCAGAAAUGAGUUAAAGAAGGGAUCUUUCCUCACAAUCUACUCCUAGCUUGUUUCUCCACUCUACUUCACGGGAUCUCCGAUCACAUAGAGCAGGUUACCACUAGAGUAGAUCUCACAUGGGUCUCAUACCCAUUUCCCUCGAUGCACUUUCUAUCACAUUGCGUGAUAGACCCUUAGUGAAUUGAUCUGCCAGAUUAUUUGAUGUGUGGACAUAAUCCACAGUUAUAACUCCGGAGUUUUUCAACUUUCUGACAGAUUUCAAUCUCCUCUUAACAUGCCUUGUAGACUUCAUGUUAUUCCUAGAACUGUUAACCUUUGUAAUCACCGUUUGGUUGUCACAGUUCAUGGAAAUAGCCGGUAUCGGUUUUUCAACUACCGGUAAGUCCAAUAGGAAAUCACGAAGCCACUCGGCCUCAGCCCCAGCAGUGUCUAAUGCUGCGAGUUCUGCUUCCAUUGUAGACUUCGUUAAGAUAGUCUGCUUGCAAGACUUCCAGGAAACAGCGCCACCUCCAAACAGAAACACAUAUCCGCUUGUGGCAUAAAGCUCAUCAGCAUCAGAAAUCCAGUUGGCAUCACAAUAGCCUUCCAGCACUUUUGGGUUUCCGGUAUAAUGAAUACCGUAUGUCAUAGUACCUUUCAAAUACCGCAACACUCUCUCAAGAGCACGCCAGUGAUCAUCUCCUGGUUUCGACACAAACCGACUUAGCUUACUCACAGCAUAAGAGAUGUCUGGCCUUGUUGCACUUGCAAGGUACAUGAGCGAGCCAAUGAUCUGGGAGUAUGUCAAUUGAUCCCUUGCUAUUCUCCGAUUCUUUCUUAAUAGCACACUGGGGUCAUAAGGUGUUGGAGCAGGAUCACAGUCACUAAAACCAAAGCGACUCAAUACCUUUUCCACAUAAUGGGAUUGUAACAAAGUUACCCCACCAUCAGCUUCUCUAACAAGCUUGAUGUUUAGAAUGACAUUAGCCUCUCCCAAAUCUUUCAUCUCGAAAUUGCUCGAUAGAAGAUUUUUAACUUCCUCAAUCACAUUGAGAUUUGAUCCAAAGAUCAAAAUGUCAUCAACAUAAAGACACAGCAUAACAGACUCACCCCCACCAUACCGAUAGUAUACACAUGUGUCAGAUUCAUUUACAACAAAGCCAGCUGUUGUAAGAGUAUUAUCAAACUUUUCAUGCCAUUGCUUAGGUGCUUGUUUUAGGCCAUACAAUGAUUUUAUCAACCUGCACACCUUGUUCUCUUGACCAUCCGCAAUGAACCCUUCUGGCUGAUCCAUAUAGAUCUCCUCAUCCAACUCUCCAUUUAGGAAAGCUGUCUUAACAUCCAUCUGAUGAAUGAUAAGACCAUAAGAGGCUGCCACAGCUAUUAAUGUGCGAAUUGUAGUCAAUCGAGCCACUGGUGAGUAGGUAUCAAAGAAAUCUUCACCCUCCUUUUGGGUAUAUCCUUUGGCCACAAGCCUUGCCUUGUACCUCUCGAUUGUACCAUCAGGCCUAAGCUUUUUCUUGAAGAUCCAUUUGCAACCUAUAGGUUGACAACCAUAAGGACGGUCAACGACCUCCCAAGUUCCAUUAGACAUAAUAGAUUCCAUCUCACUCCUUACUGCUUCCUUCCAUAAGUCAGCAUCAGGAGAGGAAUAUGCCUCACUAAUGGUAGUUGGUGUGUCUUCCACAAGGUACACUAUAAAGUCAUUACCAAAGGAUUUUGCAACCCUCUGUCUCUUGCUCUUUCGAGUGACUAUAGUGUCAUCCUCCUCAGGGAUGUGCACGUGAGAAUCCUCAACAUGAUCUAUAGGAAUCGACAGUUCGUGCUCAUGGGGAAUUAUAGUCUCAUGACUUGUAUCGCUAGGUGUAUUCUUCAUGGGAAACUCAUUCUCAAAAAAUGUUGCGUCUCUUGAUUCCAUGAUAGUAUCAACAUACAUAUCAGGCACAUCAGAUUUUAUAAUUAAGAACCUAUACCCAGUGCUGUGAAAAGAGUACCCAAGGAAUAUACAGUCAACAGUUUUAGGCCCAAGUUUACGCUUUUUGUUGAUUGGCACAUUCACUUUAGCCAAGCAACCCCAAGUGCGCAAAUAUGAGAGAUUUAAUCUUCUCUUUUCCCAUUCCUCAAAUGGAGUGAUCUCUUUGUUCUUUGUUGGAACUCUAUUCAGGACAUGACAUGCUGUCAAAAUCGCCUCACCCCACCAUGCCUUGGAUAAUCCCGCUGUACUCAACAUGGCAUUCACCAAAUCUGUUAGAGUGCGGUUUUUCCUUUCAGCAAUCCCAUUGGAUUGUGGUGAAAAUGGCGGUGUCCUCUCAUGAAUAAUACCAUGUUCCACGCAGAACUCAUCGAACACAUUAGAGAAAUAUUCUCCACCUCGGUCGGACCUUAAACGUUUUAUUUUCCUCUCAAGUUGGUUCUCUACUUCAGCUUUAUAGGCCUUAAAAUAAUUGAACGCUUCAUCUUUUGUUUUUAAGAGAUACACAUAACAAAAUCUAGUGGAGUCAUCUAUAAAAGUGAGAAAGUAUCUUUUACCACCUUUGGUCAAAAUUCCAUUCAUCUCGCACAGAUCAGAAUGAACAAGUUCUAGAGGUGCCAAACUCCUCGCCUCAGCAGCCUUGUGAGGCUUGCGGGGUUGUUUUGAUUCGACACACACAUGGCACUUAGACUUUUUGACCAAGUUAAAUUUAGGAAUUAAAUUUAUAUUUGCUAACCGCAUAAGACAGCCAAAGCUUGCAUGACAAAAACGUGAAUGCCAUAAAUCUGACUCAUCAGAAAAAUGAACAGAAUUCACCAGUUUAUUACACACAUCAUGCAGUGAUAAGCGGAACAGGCCUCUGCAGUCAUAUCCUUUACCAACAAAAGUACCAUGUUUCGACACAACACAUUUAUUAGACUCAAGAACAACUUUGUAUCCAUCUCGACAUAGCAUAGAAGCGCUAACGAGAUUCUUCUUGAUAGAGGGCACAUGCUGCACGCUCUUCAAUGGCACCGUCUUUCCCGAAGUAAACUUUAGAAUGACCGUACCAACACCAAGAACAUGAGCACGCGACCCAUUUCCCAUCAACAAGGCGCCAGACCUCCCGACCUGAUAGGAAGUGAACAUAGAGGCAUC
rnacentral:lncRNA from 1 species